CCAUCCUCUCGGGCCUACUGGCUAAGAUCAAGUGUAGUAUCUGUUCUUUCUAGCGUGACAGCUAGAAGGCUCCCCAUCGGUGCCAUGUCUGUCAUUGAAUCUUUGGACCCUGGACGCAGUCGCUUGGGGCUUGCUCCAAGUUCUGUCACAGAUGUCGCUCGUAUUGCACUUUCUCGACCUGACGUCCAUGGACC
rnacentral:snRNA from 1 species